GUGCUUACUACAGCAGCACAUAUACUAAAAUUGGAAUGAUACAAAGAAGAUUAGCAUGGCCCCUGUGCAAAGAUGACACAAAUUCAUGAAGCAUUCCCUAUUUCA
ensembl:snRNA U6 U6 spliceosomal RNA